rnacentral:rRNA from 1 species
GAGUUUGAUCCUGGCUCAGAUUGAACGCUGGCGGCAUGCCUUACACAUGCAAGUCGAACGGCAGCACGGGAGCUUGCUCCUGGUGGCGAGUGGCGAACGGGUGAGUAAUGCAUCGGAACGUAUCCUGGAGUGGGGGGAUAACGUAGCGAAAGUUACGCUAAUACCGCAUAUUCUGUGAGCAGGAAAGCGGGGGACCUUCGGGCCUCGCGCUCUUGGAGCGGCCGAUGUCGGAUUAGCUAGUUGGUGAGGUAAAGGCUCACCAAGGCGACGAUCCGUAGCAGGUCUGAGAGGAUGAUCUGCCACACUGGAACUGAGACACGGUCCAGACUCCUACGGGAGGCAGCAGUGGGGAAUUUUGGACAAUGGGGGCAACCCUGAUCCAGCCAUGCCGCGUGAGUGAAGAAGGCCUCGG